UACUAAAGGAAUUGACGGGGACCCGCACAAGCAGCGGAGCGUGUGGUUUAAUUCGUUGCUACACGAAGAACCUUACCUAGGUUUGACAUAUAGGUUUGUAGGGAACUGAAAAGGGACCGACCCUUCGGGGAGCCUAUACAGGUGUUGCAUGGCUGUCGUCAGCUCGUGUCGUGAGAUGUUCGGUUAAGUCCGCUAACGAGCGCAACCCUCGUCGUAUGUUACAAGUGUCAUACGAGACUGCCGGUAAAAAGUCGGAGGAAGGUGAGGAUGAUGUCAAGUCAGCAUGACCUUUAUAUCUAGGGCUACACACACGCUACAAUGGUCUGUACAAUGGGUUGCCAGGCCGCGAGGCGGAGCCAAUCCUAAAAAGCAGGCCUCAGUUCAGAUUGCAGUCUGCAACCCGACUGCAUGAAGCCGGAGUUGCUAGUAACCGCAGGUCAGCAAUACUGCGGUGAAUACGUUCCCGGGUCUU
rnacentral:rRNA from 1 species